CGGAAAGCUUAAUCUAAGUAACUGUUGUCUGCACAUAGAUGAUGAAGGGCAGGCAGUGGCUGAACUUACAAGCCACAUGGUUAAAUUUGUGCAUGUACCUACUCAGGUCUGGAAUGGGUAUAACCUAAGUAGUUGGUUUGGAAGUUGGUAUGAGCAGCUUGGAGGAAUUAAGACAUUAGUAGGAGGAGUAGUGUUUAUCAUAUUCUUAUGUCUUUUUCUGCCCUGUCUAAUUCCAUUAGUGGUCAGGUCCCUACGUAGUAUUAUAGAGAGUACUAUAGAGAGAAAGACAGCUGCCCAUGUAAUGGCUGUCUGGAAGAUAUGAUCCCCUAGCCCGAAGAGAAUAUAUUCAGGAUGAAGAAUGUUGAAGGAAUUUUUAAGAUGCUUACAAGGUCUACUUUGGUUCAAUGGCUACUUGAGAGAUGUAGGUAAAACUGUGAUUGGUGAUGCAUCUGGAAUAAUGUUAUAUCAGAGGCAUCAAAGGGGGGAAUGUGAUGGGAUUCCAGCAUGGUCAAAAUUUAGUAGGCCAAAAUCUCCAUGUGGCAUAUGUGUAUGUUGUGUCAGUUGGUUAGCUACAUGUAGCUAGGAUACUGUCAUCAGUGUACUGAGCAUGUGCAGGAAUGCAGGAACUGGAAUUGCACUUAUUUCCUUUUGUCUUGGAUGAGCCAUGUGGUUUGACUAGAUGUACAAGUCUAUAUUCUGCUCAUUGAUUGGUUAAAGGUAUAUGUGGGUGUAGCUAUUAAUGGGAGGCGUUAUAGUGCUAUAUAAGGAAUGUACACUAUGUGUUGGUCUCUCAGAAUGUUGGAACAGGAGUUCAUCUGAGACCCGAUCGGUAAUGUGAAUAAAGGCCUGUUACUUCCUGAA